GCCGAUGUGGCUCAGUGGACAGGGUGUCAGCCCUGGAACUGAAGGCUCCGGGUUCGACUCCUGUCAAGGGCA
rnacentral:tRNA from 1 species